CACAUACUAUCCAAUGAUCAGCCACAUCUUACUCACAUACGCGGUUCAACCACCAAUCCUAUUUAGGUGGUGAAUGCGGGUCACUUUCAAGGUCAGCCUUCAUUCAACUAUAUCAGAAAUCCAGAACCACCCCAACUCCUUGUUGAUCUCAGAGCAGAACAGUACUAAAUAAAAAAAAUAGGUUUAUAACUGCUGCUUUAUCAUUCAGCUACCUUUGGAAUGAUCAAAUGGCAUCACAAUUUGCCUUAGAGAUUAAGGUAUAUUGAGAGCCUCAACAGUCUGGAGAUUGGCAGGUGCUACUUGAAUGAACUCGACGAAUCUUGUUUCAUUAGGAUUCGAAUUACGGCUACAACUUGAUUUGACUUGGUCCAGCAUUGGUAACAACAAAGGAUGCUGGAGAUGCAGUAGCUUUACUUCAGUCAUUAACCGGCUCCACUUAAAGCUACAUCAAAUUCUUGGAGAGGAAAGAGGAAAGAUUCAGCUCAUGUGUACUUCUUUUUAUUUUCAAAUGUUCAGUUUCUAGGUAGAGUUUGUUUGGUGGUGCAAAUUGUAAGAGGAAAGAUAGAGUUAGUUUUGUAAAUGGAUUUUUGUUGUUUUUAAGUGUUUAAUUUAGCUCUUGUUUUGAAUCCCAUGGUUU